UCUCUGAGAAAACUCGAGAUUGCAGGGUUAAAAAUAACCCGAAAGGAUCAGAGUGAAAUGCCCUUGGGAUGUGUGUGGUCUGUUCUAAAGUACACAGCAGAAGAUGUUUUGUAGAUAGGAAGCCAGCUGUAAACAGCACACUGUGCAUUCCCUUCUUUGUUCUCUUAUCCUGUGUUAAGGUCCGAGUACAAUGGUGUUUACAAUUAAUUGAUCACAGCCAGUUACAGAUUUCUUUACUCCUUCUCCACUCCCACUGCUUCACUUAACUAACCCUGUGUACAUGGAAGAAUGUGCCUUACUAAGCCCCUGCUGUAAAUCAUUAUAGACCUAUAUCAUCGUAGAAGGUAUAUUAGAUUAUGGAAAAUAAACCUCAGCACCUCAGGCUGUUUGCUCGGGGUCCCCUGUGCCUCGCUAUACUGUCGUCUUUUUCUCAGUUCCUUCGCCGCCCAGGUCCCCGACUCUCUGAGGUCAACAAGAGGUGCCCGAACAGGAACCUGAAGCCCCCAUCGAGGAGUGAUCGGCCAGCGAUAGGAACCCUACAGAAGGUGAUGGAUCCAGUCGAGCAAUUUGGAUACCUCUUGGAAAGUCCGGCCCAGGACCGGCGAUAAAGACAACAGAAGAGGUCUCUCAGCCGCUGCACGGAUGGACUACCCAACCCCCUGUCCGAGAGAUGGCAACACUCCUUGAAGAGACCUCGAAGACGAUAGAUGCCCCUGAUAACACUCCCAACCUGGGGGCAACUGAAGACCCUCACUCAGAGGGCGGAGCGAGUCCUGGAGAUGACCAGAUCUACCAAAACCCCUGAACAUUUGUUCCUGGCUAUGUUAGCGGUAUAUGUUGCCUUAUAUUUCUCAUAGGAUACAGUACUCUCAAAAAACGAGUGAAUGCCCAAAAUCUCCAUCACAGAGUGCUUAUGACAGCGACUGUUUUGAAAAAAGAAAGGGGGAGCUGUGGGAAACAGAACGCCACAACGACCACUGGUGCAUGUUCGCUCAGGCUCCGAGAUCGCUGAGAAAACUCGAGAUUGCAGGGUUAAAAAUAACCCGAAAGGAUCAGAGUGAAAUGCCCUUGGGAUGUGUGUGGUCUGUUCUAAAGUACACAGCAGAAGAUGUUUUGUAGAUAGGAAGCCAGCUGUAAACAGCACACUGUGCAUUCCCUUCUUUGUUCUCUUAUCCUGUGUUAAGGUCCGAGUACAAUGGUGUUUACAAUUAAUUGAUCACAGCCAGUUACAGAUUUCUUUACUCCUUCUCCACUCCCACUGCUUCACUUAACUAACCCUGUGUACAUGGAAGAAUGUGCCUUAUACUAAGCCCCUGCUGUAAAUCAUUAUAGACCUAUAUCAUCGUAGAAUGUAUAUUAGAUUAUGGAAAAUAAACCUUGGCACCUCGGGCUGUUUGCUCGGGGUCCCCUGUGCCUCGCUAUACUGUCGUCUCUUUUUCUCAGUUCCUUCGCCACCCCAGGUCCAGGACUCUCAGAGGUCGACACAUAGUGGCUUUCAUGAGAGCAGUUUCCAUUUUCUGAUAGAGUUGAGGUCAGAGAGUAAUAAGUGAAUGGGAAACAAGGGGCACUGCAGUGAGGAGAAUGAAAUAGGGUGCUCCAAGGAAUGUGGGGAGCAGUGGGGAUCAUCUGCUGCCCACUGAGUAUCCAUAGUGUGUUCAUAGAUGGAUAGGGAUAGGAAAGGCCAGGCCCUGAAGAGAGAUAGAGGAAGUAUCAGAGAAAGGCUGAAGAGGAAAUAAAGGGAAAAGCACAGAGAUUGGGGGUAAAUGUUUGUCUUAAUUCUGGUUUUCAUUAAAAGUUGUCAAUACUGGG